UACGGAGGGGGCAAGCGUUGUCCGGAAUCAUUGGGCGUAAAAAGCGUGUAGGCGGCCAGAAAAGUCCGCUGUGAAAACUCGAGGCUCAACUUCGAGCUGUCGGUGGAAACUUUCUGGCUAGAGUCCGGAAGAGGAGAAUGGAAUUCCUGGUGUAGCGGUGAAAUGCGCAGAUAUCAGGAGGAACACCGGUGGCGAAGGCGGGUCUCUGGGCCGAUACUGACACUGAGGAGCGAAAGCGUGGGGAGCGAACAGG
rnacentral:rRNA from 1 species